UAAUAAUGAUGAUUUCAAUUAUCACCAUCUUUCGACUGAAGCAUUGUGAUGAUUAUAUCUUAACUGAUUG